UCAGCAGGCAGCUUAAUCGGAAGUGAUUUUUCAAAGAGGAAACAAGUGUUUAAACAUCUAAAAGGUUGCAUCCAGGCAGAGUUGAAAGUGCAGGGUUGAAUGAGAGGGAGCCUGACAGACUUGGUGCAAAAGAGAGGAACUUGAAGAGGAAGUCUCUUUCCAGAAGUGGAAGACUGACGAAGAUGGGGAUGACCUGUGCAGAAAUCCGUGAUGGAUGAAUUGUACACCAAUCUUACAGGAUCUGCUUUGGCAGAAUUUCUUCUCAGUGGGAGCUCCAGUGGGUAACUUCGGUAACUUUACACAUGCUGAUUGGCUCUUUAUGCCUCUUUGAGGCCCGCCAGGAGAGCAAUGUGGUACUAAUAAAAGACUUCAUGGCCCUCUGUUG